CAGGCACCCAUCUUUUAUGUUCUCUCUCCAGCUGUGGUGCUGAGGACCAUUCCCUAGUUUUUGAGAUGCUGCUACUUGAUGACUAUCUUAAAUAGUCAUAAAUACCACUAGCUAAUAUCAUUUACAAAAUGAAAAAAAUAAAAAGGCAAAUUUACUUUACUUAAAACCCUUUCAUUUUUAUUUUUUGUCUCUACCAUAAAGUACAAAGUUAAAAUGUAGCUUAGAAAGCCCCAGAUGAUCCUGCCCGCCCCCCACGUAGCUCCUCAGCUUCAUUUCUCAUCACUUUCUACUCCCUACUCAAUCAUUCCAAACAUCUUCUACUUCCUUCCUGCCAAGUCUUUAGGAUGGACUCAGUAAAAGAUGUCCUAGGUCUAAAUAAUUUUAAGACAAGCUAUAGAUAAUAUACCCUGCUCUCACAAAAAGGCCAUCUAAUUGUUUAAUGAACAAAAAGAAUCUCACUCACUUUGCGGGUGGCAGAGACACAUGGUAGGUUAUUUUCUCUGAACAGAAUUCCACUAUUUCCUAAUUAUUUUUCCUUUUAGUAUGAGAAAUUUGAGGUGGAAGCCACAAUGAACAUAAUAAUAUCAGUUAAUAAAAAUAAUGCUAUGGACACGAGCAACUUAAAUUUGAUCAGACGCAAGUGGUCUAUUGCCCUCAUGACCUUCAAAAGCACUUCCUGGAACUGGAGCCAUUUUCCACUUGCUUCUUCACUAACAUUUAGCAUUCUCAGUAGUUGUGCCUCUAGUCAAUAAUGUUAAACAUCUUCCAUGCACAUAACACAUGAUAUGCUAUCUAUGAGUUAUUUCUGAUAGGGAUCAUCACUUUAGUUUUGAGGAGGAGGAAACUGAAACUCCUCUAGUUUGACUGAUUUUUCCUCAAGGUCAUAGAUUUAACAAAUGACAGAAAUGGGAUUUAGAUCCAGUGUCUUCAUCUGUAACACUUUUUCUUUCAGCUCAGUGAGAACUACUCAUACUGCUAGGCACAGCCUGAACUGAUGACUCAUGGGUGACCGGGAAGAGAAACCAGUGGGAAAGGCCAAUGGUAGCCUUUCAGAAUAAACAGGAAGGUGGGUGGUUGUGGGGGAGCAGAGCUUAUAAACUCCUUAAUUGUAAAUACAUCUAGCUAGAUCAUAAAUUCUACCAAGAAAGGGUCCAAAUUCUUUUACCUCUUUAUCUCUGAACACUAACUAGAACAGGCUGGGAACAGAGUGGGUACUUAAUGAACACUUAGGAAUUAACCUCUUAUUAGUAAGAUAUAGACUAACCAUAACAGCAUUAAUCACUGCCUACUCCCUCAGCUCUAAGAUAGAGUAUAGUAGAAAUCAGGGCAAGGUGUGGUAGGUGUAGUGAGUUUUACCACUAAGAAGAAUUUUAAUGUCUUUGAAGAUCUCAUUAAACUCUUUGACCUAAGAUAAUAUUUGAAAAAGUACUGAAAGGCCAAUAAUCCAAAGUCAUGAGUUUUAGUUUCAAGGAAUUAUACUGAAAAGAAACAAGUUGUAUUUCUAUCAGUCAGCUGUUUAGAUACCUAUUCUCAUGAUCACAAAUAUUUAUUAAGCACUCUGUAAGCAAGGCAAUGAACAGACAUUAUGCAAGGAAAUAUCCAAACAUCCAGGUGUACACAAUGGGCACAAAUAAACCCUACCAUGGCAUUUGUUUGUUUGUUUGUUUGUUUGCCUAAAAAGUCCACACAAAUCAGUCUAAGGAGAAGGGGAAAUAAGUCAUGUUACUUAUUGCAAAAAUCGUGUCAUCCUUGAUAAACCACUUUACAAAUUCUCACUUUUCUGUAUAGAAAAUUGUGUGUCUGAAUUCUGCUUCUUGGUGGAAAGACUACUAUGGUCCAACUCUGUGCAUAAAAGUCCAUGCUGCCUCUGAGAGUCUCAGUGAGGGAAGAAGGCCUCUGUCUCAAGUGCACAUGUGUAUUCUUAUGUGUAUUCUCUAAUUUUUAGAGGAAAUAGAAAAGAUGAGUCCCAGGAAAAUUUAAAACUAAAGAACUCAUGAGAAUAAAAUAGAAACUUAUAAAAUUGAGAAAAGUUAAAAAGGGGCCAAAGUUUAGAGUUAAGUUGAGCUUCAGAAUGUGCUUAAACCAGACUUUUUACAGAGCUGUGGAAUCAGAAAGAACUCUCCAUUUUCAUGGAGGUCAGUGCUAAUCAGUCCUUUAUACCUUGGCUUAGGGAACAGAGUCAGGACCCAAGGAGUAGACACCAUAAAUUCUUAGCGCUAGAAGGUCACAGAGGCCAUUGCUCCAAUAGUUCCUAAAUUUUGUUACUAUUAAAACCACCUCGCAAUGGAUGUGUAACUGAUGUGAUUCUGCAAUCUGUAUACGGGGUAAAAAUGGGAGUUCAUAACCCACUUGAAUCAAAGUGUGAAAUAUGAUAUAUCAAGAACUAUGUAAUGUUUUG
rnacentral:lncRNA from 1 species